CUUUCCUUUUUGAAACACAGCAAGGCCUUCAAACACACUAGGGCUUUAAUUUUCCAUUUCGAAACAUACCAUUCAAACAAAGCUAAGGCUUUCGUUUCCCUUUUGAAAUAGACCAUUUGACCCUACUCACAAUUCCUUUCCUUCUAUCCAUUAUUGAGGUUGAAGAAGCAACCUCUGCUUUCACAAGUCCAAACUACGAAGUUAAGGAGCCAAAAAUCUUCCUCCUUUUUCAUUGUUGAUGCUGCACAGUCCAACUUCUUCAAAGGUUGAAGAAGCAACCUCUGCUUUCACAAGUCCAAACUAGGAAGCUCAGGAUCCAGAAAUCUUCCUCCUUUCCUGUCGUUUAUGCUGUACAGUCCAACUUCUUCAAAGCAUUGGAGGAGCAAGUGAUGGACUGAGCAGAAAAUUGAAGCACAAAAGUUGCCAUUGUUAGAGUUACAAGUGUUUGCUGAGAAAAUUACACACACACUUACACAGAUAGAGAAAGAGAGAGAGAGAUAUAUAUAUAUAAAUAGAUAGAGAAGCAUUAGUGGCAGUUUGUCCCCCAUUAAUGUAAGUUGCUUCUCUAAACAAAAGAGAAAAAUGUUGUAAACUAAUUUCGCUUUAAUGUAACGAACUAAUCUGAGAAUCUUUA